rnacentral:rRNA from 1 species
AUUGAACGCUGGCGGCAGGCCUAACACAUGCAAGUCGAGCGGAGAGCUGGACGGGUGCGUAAUGCCUAGGAAUCUGACUGGUACUGGGGGAUAACGUCCGGAAACGGGCGCUAAUACCGCAUACUAUCAGAUGAGCCUAGGUCGGAUUAGCUAGUUGGUGGGGUAAAGGCCUACCAAGGCGACGAUCCGUAACUGGUCUGAGAGGAUGAUCAGUCACACUGGAACUGAGACACGGUCCAGACUCCUACGGGAGGCAGCAGUGGGGAAUAUUGGACAAUGGGCGAAAGCCUGAUGCAGCCAUGCCGCGUGUGUGAAGAAGGUCUUCGGAUUGUAAAGCACUUUAAGUUGGGAGGCGUUACCAACAGAAUAAGCACCGGCUAACUUCGUGCCAGCAGCCGCGGUAAUUC